rnacentral:tRNA from 1 species
AUUUAAAUAGCUUAAUAUAGAGUAUAAUAUUGAAGAUAUUAUGGUGAUUAGAUAAUCUUUAAAUA